GCCCUUGGUAGCUCAGUUGGUAAAACACGAGACUCUUAAUUUCAAGGUCAUGGGUUCAUGCAUGUUCGGUAAAAGAUUCCUGAAUUGCAGGGUG